UACGGGGGGAGCAAGCGUUGUUCGGAUUUACUGGGCGUAAAGGGCGCGUAGGCGGCCAGCGCAAGUCAGUUGUGAAAUCUCCGGGCUUAACUCGGAACGGUCAACUGAUACUGCGCGGCUAGAGUGCAGAAGGGGCAACUGGAAUUCGUCGGUGUAGCGGUGAAAUGCGUAGAUAUCGAGAGGAACACCUGCGGCGAAGGCGGGUUGCUGGGCUGACACGUGACGCUGGAGGAGCGAAAGCGUGGGGAGCGAACAGG
rnacentral:rRNA from 1 species